rnacentral:lncRNA from 1 species
UUAUAUAAUCUAAAUAAAUGCUUUUACAUAAUUAUAAUUUUGAAGGUGAUGGACUCAAUUUUUGGGAAAAAGGCUUUUGUGAUGCCACCUGCGAUUGCAUCAAGCGAAGGUCCAGCCAACAAAUGUGACAGAAUCACCUUCAUUGCCAUCUAAUCCAAGCAAAAAGCGAAGAGUUGAGACUGUCCUGAAGAAUUUCAUUGAUGAUAUAAGACAAGAUAGGAACAUAGCAAUGGCCAAAAGAGAAGAAGAGAGGAAAGAAUAUGAGAAAUUAAAAGCACAGCGGUAUAUCGAGCGUAAAGAAGAACAAAGGAAAAUUCAUGAAGAGAAAAUGGAGAUACAAAAAUCAUUGAUUGAAAUUAUGAAACUUUUAAUUGAAAAGCAAAAA